AUUGAACGCUGGCGGCAUGCUUUACACAUGCAAGUCGAACGGUAACAGGCCGCAGGGUGCUGACGAGUGGCGAACGGGUGAGUAAUGCAUCGGAACGUGCCCAGUCGUGGGGGAUAACGCAGCGAAAGUUGCGCUAAUACCGCAUACGAUCUAUGGAUGAAAGCGGGGGACCGUAAGGCCUCGCGCGAUUGGAGCGGCCGAUGUCAGAUUAGGUAGUUGGUGGGGUAAAGGCUCACCAAGCCGACGAUCUGUAGCUGGUCUGAGAGGACGACCAGCCAAACUGGGACUGAGACACGGCCCAGACUCCUACGGGAGGCAGGAGUGGGGAAUUUUGGACAAUGGGCGCAAGCCUGAUCCAGCAAUGCCGCGUGCAGGAAGAAGGCCUUCGGGUUGUAAACUGCUUUUGUACGGAACGAAACGGUCCUGGUUAAUACCCGGGGCUAAUGACGGUACCGUAAGAAUAAGCGCCGGCUAACUACGUGCCAGCCGCCGCCGUAAGAC
rnacentral:rRNA from 1 species